UUUUUUCGCGCGAAGCGACCUUUUUCCUUUGUCGGCAUCCAUUUUACCACGUCUUGCUGACGUAAUAAUGAUACCGACAAAGGAAAAAGGUCGCUUCGCGCGAGAAAAU